CAAGUCAUUCACAAAGUUCAACUUUCUUCGGUCCUCACGCGUAUAACAAUCUCACUCUCAUGCUCAUGCAGCACGCUAACAUAGUCCAGCUCUCUUUAGUCCUCAUACAAACGUAGUCACACUCAUAUUUAUGUUAUUGACAACCCAUGAGUCCUUGUGAUGUCUUCAGCACCUGCAAUUUGUUGGCCCUGCUUGAUACCAUAAUUGUUACCAAAGUUUAACCUCUUGAAAACGUAUGCACCAUGUAGAAAUUGAUUAAAAUUGAUUACAAAUGUAAUUGCAUUGCAAGAUUAUUGCCCUCAAUCAAACAUGCUCAAAUAUAGCAUGGUUUUUAAAGUUAUCUUUUUGUUUUUAUCCAUUCAAAAACUUGAUGGUGGCCCAUGAGGGUAAAUCUGAAA
rnacentral:lncRNA from 1 species